GUAGCUUCUCGGCCUUUUGGCUAAGAACAAAUUGUAGUACCUGUUCUUAUCAGCUUAAUAUCUGAUAGGUCCCUAUUUGGUGCCAUUGAUAUUAAACUGAUAUUUAGGACGAGGUGAAGAGUUUGGGGCUUGAUCCACCUUUGCUACGGUAUCAAAUAUAUAUGUGUAUAUAUAUAUAUAUAUAUAUAUAU